rnacentral:tRNA from 1 species
GGAGAGGUGGCAGAGCGGUUGAAUGCACCUGACUCGAAAUCAGGAGUGGCGGUAACGUCAUCGGGAGUUCGAAUCUCCCCCUCUCCG